UACGAAGGGUCCAAGCGUUAUCCGGAUUCAUUGGGUUUAAAGGGUGCGCAGGCGGUGCCUUAAGUCAGUGGUGAAAUCCCGUAGCUCAACUACGGAACUGCCAUUGAUACUGAGGUUCUUGAAUGUAGUUGACGUUAGUGGAAUGUGUCAUGUAGCGGUGAAAUGCUUAGAUAUGACACAGAACACCGAUCGCGAAGGCAGCUAACGAAGCUAUUAUUGACGCUCAGGCACGACAGCAUGGGGAGCAAACAGG
rnacentral:rRNA from 1 species